UGGCUCAGGACGAACGCUGGCGGCGUGCCUAAUACAUGCAAGUCGAACGGUCUUUCUAUGGAAGCUUGCUUCCACUGAGAAGAUAGUGGCGAACGGGUGAGUAACACGUGGGUAACCUGCCCAUAAGAGGGGGGAUAACAUCCGGAAACGGGUGCUAAUACCGCAUAGUUUUCUUGAUCGCAUGAUUGAGAAAGGAAAGACGGCCUUUGUGCUGUCGCUUAUGGAUGGACCCGCGGCGUAUUAGUUAGUUGGUGAGGUAACGGCUCACCAAGACGAUGAUACGUAGCCGACCUGAGAGGGUGAUCGGCCACAUUGGGACUGAGACACGGCCCAAACUCCUACGGGAGGCAGCAGUAGGGAAUCUUCCGCAAUGGACGAAAGUCUGACGGAGCAACGCCGCGUGAGUGAAAGAAGGUUUUCGGAUCGUAAAACUCUGUUGUCAGAGAAGAACAAGUUGGAGAGUAACUGCUCCAGCCUUGACGGUAUCUGACCAGAAAGCCACGGCUAACUACGUGCCAGCCGCGGC
rnacentral:rRNA from 1 species